rnacentral:rRNA from 1 species
UACGUAGGGUGCAGGCGUUAAUCGGAAUUACUGGGCGUAAAAGCGUGCGCAGGCGGUUUCUUAAGUCAGAUGUGAAAGCCCCCGGGCUUAACCUGGGAACUGCGUUUGAAACUGGGAGACUUGAGUGUGGCGAGAGGGGGGGUGGAAUUCCACGUGGGUAACAUGUGAAAUGCGCAGAUAAGUCACGGAGGAACACCAGGUCGGCGAAAGGG